AGAUUGCUAUAGGUAGCAGGAAUGCCUCACAGUAACCCAGGAAUCCUGACUCCCAGAUGAGGUCCCUUUUUACUCUGGAGAGCUGGGACUUAGAAAACACCCUGCCUCAGGUUCCCCUGCAGAAGCUCAACCCUGACAGUCAACCCUGUCAGUAGAGUAACUGCCUAAUUCUUGAAGACUCGCCAGCUGUUUAGGAUCACAAGCACAGUAAAUACCAUUUCAUGCCUAGUGUUCCAGCCCUCUUCUCACAUAAAAGUUAUAAGGCAGAAUUCCAUCACCAUAAACCCAAAUGUGUCUCCUACAAGAAAAAGGGGUGACCUAAAGAAGCAGUUCCCCCAAAACAUCUUCCAGCCUGAAAUCCUCUGGGGCACUUUGCUAAGAGUGAAGCCUCUGUGCUUCCCACAUCAGUAAGAUUGUGACAUCUGUAAGAUUCAGGGUUGGCUUCUCUGAACUUUCAACCCAGCCCUCUGAGAACUGUUUCACCUGGACCCCAUCCCCACCCUGUCUCCUGCAGGGGGUCAGCCCACCUGAGGCAUGUGUGUGAAGUAUCUGGAAGGGGUGG
rnacentral:lncRNA from 10 species